rnacentral:rRNA from 1 species
AGAGCGAACGCUGGCGGCAGGCUUAACACAUGCAAGUCGAGCGGGCGUAGCAAUACGUCAGCGGCAGACGGGUGAGUAACGCGUGGGAACGUACCUUUUGGUUCGGAACAACCCAGGGAAACUUGGGCUAAUACCGGAUAAGCCCUUACGGGGAAAGAUUUAUCGCCGAAAGAUCGGCCCGCGUCUGAUUAGCUAGUUGGUGAGGUAAUGGCUCACCAAGGCGACGAUCAGUAGCUGGUCUGAGAGGAUGAUCAGCCACAUUGGGACUGAGACACGGCCCAAACUCCUACGGGAGGCAGCAGUGGGGAAUAUUGGACAAUGGGCGCAAGCCUGAUCCAGCCAUGCCGCGUGAGUGAUGAAGGCCCUAGGGUUGUAAAGCUCUUUUGUGCGGGAAGAUAAUGACGGUACCGCAAGAAUAAGCCCCGGCUAACUUCGUGCCAGCCAGCCGC